UACGAAGGGGGCGAGCGUUGUUCGGAUUUACUGGGCGUAAAGGGCCAGUAGGCGGCCAACUAAGUCACACGUGAAAUCCCCAGGCUUAACCUGGGAACUGCGUGUGAUACUGGAUGGCUUGAAUUCGGGAGAGGGAUGCAGAAUUCCAGGUGUAGCGGUGAAAUGCGUAGAUAUCUGGAGGAAUACCGGUGGCGAAGGCGGCAUCCUGGACCGACAUUGACGCUGAACGGCGAAAGCUAGGGGAGCAAACGGG
rnacentral:rRNA from 1 species